UCAGCGUAUUUAAUAUUAAUGCAAGCUAUGAUGUGAUAAUAGAAUCSUUGUGGUCACUAAAUUAUACAUGCUUGUAUUAUUUUUGUUGGAUAUGUCGGUGUGCACUUCUCUUCUAGUAGAACGUCGCAACCCGUUGGAUGUUUAUCUAUGGCCUAAUUGGUAGCCUUUAAUAUUUUAUAAUAUUGAAAACCUUUGGUGUCCUGAUAAACUGUCUGACGGUAUACAUAUAGUAUURAGCCGCAAUUAUUUGCGUUAGACUUACCACAAGCAAGAUUUUAGCCUGGUAGUUCGGAUUUAAUGCCGUCGCUAGACAAAAUCUGCUGUUAGUUGUGUAAUGUUCUUUAACUGGCUUAUUUACUGGUUAGCGAUGCUACUGCUUUGGGUACUUACAGGACCCGUCUUG
rnacentral:rRNA from 1 species